rnacentral:lncRNA from 1 species
CUUACCUAUACCAUUAAAUUAAAUGCAGUUAAACUGUGUAUACAAUUAAAAAAAAAAAAAAAGGAAAAAAACAAAACAAAACAGGUUUCUGUUCAUUUGGGGCAUAUUUGGUCACAAUGGCUUUCGAAAAAAAGGACAUCAAAUAUUAGCAAGUGUUCCUAUCCAAGAUGUGACUUACAUGUCUAGCAUGGUUUAAGAAACAUCCUUAAGUUUGUUCAAGAGGAAAACGUUCCCCUCUGAAUCCCUUCCCUCUGACCAAAGGGAGCGGAUGCCAGCUUCAGUCCUUGUCAAUGCCAUGCAGAAGCUCAGUGUGCAAGUAAUGAACAUUCCUCGUAACUCCUUUUUGUUUUAAUCCUGUGUCAAAUGCUUGGGUCGUGUGUAUUUGAAUGUCCUCUUCCUCCAGGCAGUACAUGAACUUCCGGUGAAAUGUGAUUUUCUAUCUUGACCGUUUCCAGAUUCCCCUGACUUUUUCCAGUAAUACCUUCUGCAGAGUACAUGCAGUUUUGACCUAGGAACCUUGCUGUACUAGAUAAAGCAACACUUUCCAAGUGAUUUUUUUCUGUCCUGUGGACAGGAUCCCUUUGCUUUCGAUGGCCGCUGUUGGAUAUGUUAUAUUUUGGGCUCAAAUUGCUCAGAAGUUCUUUGGAGGGACAAGAAUCCAAUCCAUCUAACAGCUGGCCCUCAUCAUCUGUGUCGGCGUCUAUAUAUUUAUGUACAUUAGCAUCGUGAAAAGUAAAGGCUAUUGCCAUCUGUUUUUCAGGAGACUUGGAAGGCGUUCGAGCACUAGCUGUCGUGUACAUUGAAGUUUCAGGACUCCUUACCGACUGGUCAGAAAACAAAGAACUGUCAAAUUUAGAGUGAAUUUCUCUAUGCCCUGAGGGGCUUAAUAUAUUGGUGGUAGGUAAAAGAUCACUUGUAUCACCUUCCAGAAAAUUUACUUUUAGAGACCUUAACAUUAGAGGGUUUUUAACCUUUACUAAACCUUUGGGACUGUCUAAAAUGAAUGUGGAAUGGCGGCUUCCAUCGGCUUUGGUGUACAUUUCAGUGAAGCUUUCUCCACUGACAUUCAUAGAUAGUGGUCUAUCCCUUCCGUCUUUAAUUUCACGAGAUAUAUCCCUCCCAGGAUUUAUAUUAGACCUGUAUGGAAGAACUGCAAAUGGACUAUGAGAGAACCUUCCAGAUUCUGGAAAAUCAGCAGUACAGCUAAUGAAACUGUCUAUGCUGGACAUGCUUCUCAUAUCAACAAUGCCUUCCUUGUGAGUUGUCAAAAGUGGGAUUGCCGGACCUGGGAUUGUCUCCAUUUCAAGUUCUUCUGUUGGUUUGCCCGUCUGAUUGGUCUCUUUUGAUGUAAGUAUGGGCUGGGAUUGUGUUUUUGCCAUUUUGUUGUACAUAUCUUCUAACUGCUGGACAUUGAGGUGUUGUGGACUUGAGCAAGAUCGAGACUUCUCUGGAGAACCCUGAUCUUUCCCAUCAAAAGACUUAUUGGAACUUGUCUCUGACAGGGUCCUCUUUGUCCAUUUCCAUUUGUUGGGUGAUAAGUGGUUAUCCUGUACUUUCUCCUUCGUUCCUGUAUCAUCAUCAGUCUUUUCAACUACUACAUCCAUAAGUUCUAUACUCCGGGCAAAGGCAUCUUUCAUAUUCAUUGAGACAAUGCUACCAUUUCGUUUGGCUCGUUCAAGAGCUUCUCUUCGUUUAAUGGCUUUCUCCUGACGCUUUUGUUCCUUGUAGAAUUCUGAGAAAUUGUUUACUAUAAUAGGAAUGGGAAGAGCUAUUACCAAUACUCCAGCAAUACAACACAAACCUCCAACUAUCUUACCUAGAAGAGUUUUUGGGUAAAUAUCUCCAUACCCAACAGUAGUCAUUGUAAUGGUAGCCCACCAGAAAGACGCUGGGAUGCUUUUGAAUUUUGUGUCAUCUUCAUCUUUUUCCGCAAAAAAUACCAAGCUUGAGAAAAUCAUAAUUCCCAUGGCAAGAAAUAAAAUGAGCAAUCCAAGUUCAUUAUAACUUCUUCUCAACGUGAAACCCAAGGACUGCAGACCCGUUGAGUGCCUGGCCAACUUUAGAAUUCGUAGUAUUCUCAUAAUACGGAAAAUCUGCACCACUCGUCUAACGUUUUGGAACUGAAGUACACUUUUGUUGGAUUCUGUGAGGAAUAUUGUGACAUAGUAUGGUAAGAUUGCUAACAAGUCAAUGACAUUAAGAGGUCCCUUAAAAAACUUCCAUUUAUUAGGUGAAGAUAAAAAUCUGAGGAGGUAUUCCAUUGUAAACCAUGCGAUGCAGACUGCUUCCACAUGUGCAAGCUGGGGAUUGUCUGUGCUUUGUCCAAAUUCAUCUGUACCUUGUAG